rnacentral:rRNA from 1 species
AUUGAACGCUGGCGGCAUGCCUUACACAUGCAAGUCGAACGGCAGCACGGGUGCUUGCACCUUGUGGCGAGUGGCGAACGGGUGAGUAAUACAUCGGAACAUGUCCUGUAGUGGGGGAUAGCCCGGCGAAAGCCGGAUUAAUACCGCAUACGAUCUACGGAUGAAAGCGGGGGACCUUCGGGCCUCGCGCUAUAGGGUUGGCCGAUGGCUGAUUAGCUAGUUGGUGGGGUAAAGGCCUACCAAGGCGACGAUCAGUAGCUGGUCUGAGAGGACGACCAGCCACACUGGGACUGAGACACGGCCCAGACUCCUACGGGAGGCAGCAGUGGGGAAUUUUGGACAAUGGGCGAAAGCCUGAUCCAGCAAUGCCGCGUGUGUGAAGAAGGCCUUCGGGUUGUAAAGCACUUUUGUCCGGAAAGAAAUCCUUGGCCCUAAUACGGUCGGGGGAUGACGGUACCGGAAGAAUAAGCACCGGCUAACUACGUG